AGCAGCCGCGGUAAUUCCAGCUCCAAUAGCGUAUAUUAAAGUUGUUGCAGUUAAAAAGCUCGUAGUUGAACUUCGGGGUUUACUCAUUGGUCAGGCUUAAUUGUCUGUACUGGUGAGAUGAAUCUCUACCUUCUGAGGAACUUUCAUGCCAUUUAUUUGGUGUGAUUGGAAAUCAGGACUGUUACUUUGAAAAAUUAGAGUGUUUAAAGCAGGCUAACGUCUGAAUACAUUAGCAUGGAAUAAUGAAAUAGGACGGAUUGAUUCUAUUUCGUUGGUUUCUAGGGUCACCGUAAUGAUUAAUAGGGAUAGUUGGGGGCAUUAGUAUUCAAUUGUCAGAGGUGAAAUUUCUUGGAUUUAUUGAAGACUAACUACUGCGAAAGCAUUUGCCAAGGAUGUUUUCAUUAAUCAAGAACGAAAGUUAGGGGAUCGAAGACGAUCAGAUACCGUCGUAGUCUUAACCAUAAACUAUGCCGAUAGGGAUCGGGACGAAGUUAAUUAAUAAUGACGCGUUCGGCACCUU
rnacentral:misc_RNA from 1 species